UGUUAAAUUUGGACGAAUAAACUUGGGCAACACUCGGCCUCCGAGUCUCUGCCCAAUUUAAAUUUAAAAAAAAAAUCUAGAGUGCAAAGAAGUUCUCCACUAGGUAAAAAAAUUUAAACAACAUGAACAACAUUCAUAAUUGCAACUUAACAUAUUAUCCCUUUUUAGGGAUAUGAAGACAAAAAACCAAGCAUUGGCUCAUGGUACAGUGCAAGAAACAAACCUGGUGACGUGCCAAAUCAAUCUACGCGUUGUCCCAAAGUUUCUACAGAAUCACUUUACCAUCGCCUAUAUCUCUUUCAUCGCGAUUCAUCGGCCAUUCUGGAUAUUGCCCGAAUAUCUUAUAAAGAAAUGGCACUUGGACUUCGAAUGUUGCGGGUUUUCUUCAAGACUCAAAUUUCGUGGGCGACUCCGAGAUGGCGUGCAAGCAGCCAGCGAAGCAGACGGACUCGCGUCACUCGGUGUUAUGGCAGUUGAAUUUGUAAAAUAAUCAAGAGGACACCUCUUCUUUUUCUCUGCUGUAAUACACAGAUCAUCUCGUACCGACGACUCUCAGUUUGUAUUUAAUGAUUUUUCGCUACAUGCACAUCACAUGUAUAUUACGAGAAUGUACAUCAUACAUUCUUUCAGCUAUUUCUUUCAAAGCCGCAAUAUUUGGGUCUUUAACGAUCUUCCUUUU